ensembl:lncRNA
GGAGUUUACAAUUUUAGUUCCACACACAGAGAAGUUGCGUGCGCGGUUAAACUAAACUAUAUUCAUUUGGAUCACAACACGCACCAAGUAGAUAUUUCACAUUCAGUUUAGUUUCAGUUCUACAUAUUACUAACUGAGGCUGGGAAAGGGGAGGGGCUGUGGAACAGGUUGUGUUCAUUUCAUUUACAUCAAGCAUGGUAAUGUUUUAUUUACCUUCCCGUGAGUCUCAUCUCUUAAUGCCCCAUGGAACGUGGCGUGCAGUAGACUCUGGUGUAGGAGGCUGGGUAGCUAGCUACCUAAUGUACAUUGUGUUUAUUUCAUUGAAGUUUACAUAGUGUGGUUAACACAGUCACAUUGUUAUUAUUCAUUAAGGCCACAUAGGAGGUAUUGUAUGUAGAAAAACAUAGCCUACUUAGGACAUACAGAUGACAAAUUGACAAAUUAAAGGGAAAACCUAAAGAAAUCAAGGGUUCAUGUACCGCAACCCCACCAUACAAGUGUACUGAAUGAUACAACCCUACCAUACAGGUGUUGAUUUUAUAAUCUGUUUGCCUACUUAAAAAUUAUAAAUCAGAUAAUUAGUAUAAAAUGUUGAGUUGAGUCAGUCAACACAUCAACAAGCUGUCUAGGUCUUUUGAGAGGGGCAUACAUGGACAAAGAGAGGAACCUGGCCACAAAGGCGGGGCGUUCAGUGCCUGUUCAUGAAUCCUGGGAGCACACCAAUGACAGGUAACUCGCCCAAAGCAUUUAUGUUGUUAGCCUGGACGAUAUGGAAUUUCAGUCCAAUAUAACACAGCUUUCAACUAAUGAGCAUCCAGGAUUUGAAACAACCAGUGUAUAUUACAUUUUUAUUCUACUGAUUUGCUUGUCAGUCAGGAAGUCUAGACUGCUGAUCAAGUGAUACAUGCAGUUCAACCCUUACAAUACAAACUUGCUCAUCAAAAAGCCCACUUCACCACACAACAUAGCAACCAGGAAUACGCCAAGCGUCUUUAGUAAUUUCACACUUGCCCUAGGAUCUUUUUAUUUAGAUUUUAUGUCUUUGGAGGGAUUACACCAAACUCAGUUUACCAGGCACUGGAAUGUAGCAUCUCAGGUCCUGGUGUAGAUUAACACCAAGGGGGAGGGGGG